CUUGCCAGUGUCAAAACACACUGAAAAAUUUUUCUACAUUUUUAUAGAACCUCCUUCUGCAUGUGGAAAUUUCUUUUUUACAUUUCCAUGAUUCUAGUCGACAACAGUGGAACGGCUGAAGAAUGUGCUGGUUGCGAUGAAGAUAAGUUAGUUUCAUAUCUGGCAAAUCUCGAGGAAACUUGAGGAAAAUCUGAAGCCAAUAGACCAAUACCUGAAAUCGUGCAGAAACCCAGACGAAAAGGAUCUUUACAUAUCGCUCAUUAGAGGCGUCAAAGUUUUGAACGACAAGCUUUGCUGCACGGACACAGACUUUUACAAAAGAUUCAGUAUAUUCCACCCAUGCUUGGCAGAGUUGAAGAACGAUUUUGAAAGCUGUAAUGGUCCAGCUGACUGGAUUGAAGAACAGGAUGAGAGAGUCUGCAGAACCUACAAAAGUAUAGUUGACUGUUAUUACAUAAAAGCUGCGAAAGUUUGCGGAAAGGAGGCUGCAAAAGCCAUUACAGAACUGAUAGAGGAUGUCAUUAAUAGUAUCAUAAAUGCAAAAUGUACGGGAAUUAAAUCUUUGCCUGUGGUAAGAGAUGCUAUGCCUGAAAAAUAUAUAAGAAGAAAUAGUGCAGAGAAAGAAUGUUUGAACACAUGGAAGACAAUCACGAUAGUACUAUUACAUAUUUCUUACAUUGUACACUGCUAUAUUCUUAAGUAAUUGUAUGUUAACGAUCAAAUAAAUUUAUCGUCAAAUGUU
rnacentral:misc_RNA from 1 species